UUGUGUGAAUACAUAGCACAUUCGAGGUAGACGCAGAGAACUGAAACAUCUAAGUACCUGCAGGAAGAGAAAGAAAAUUCGAUUCCCUGAGUAGCGGCGAGCGAAACGGGAAAAGCCCAAACCAGCAAGCUUGCUUGUUGGGGUUGUAGGACUCCAAUAUGGUAGUUCUUUCAGAUAGUCGAAUGACUUGGAAAAGUCAGUCAAAGAGGGUAAAAACCCCGUAGACGAAAUGUGGAAGACACCUAGGAGGAUCCUGAGUACGGCGGAACACGAGAAAUUCCGUCGGAAUCCGGGAGGACCAUCUCCCAAGGCUAAAUACUCCCUAGUGACCGAUAGUGAACCAGUACCGUGAGGGAAAGGUGAAAAGCACCCCGGAAGGGGAGUGAAAUAGAACCUGAAACCGUGUGCCUACAACAAGUCAAAGCCCGUUAAUGGGUGAUGGCGUGCCUUUUGUAGAAUGAACCGGCGAGUUACGAUUGCAUGCGAGGUUAAGUUGAAGAGACGGAGCCGCAGCGAAAGCGAGUCUGAAUAGGGCGUUUGAGUAUGUAGUCGUAGACCCGAAACCAUGUGAUCUACCCAUGUCCAGGUUGAAGGUGCGGUAAAACGCACUGGAGGACCGAACCCACGUACGUUGAAAAGUGCGGGGAUGAGGUGUGGGUAGCGGAGAAAUUCCAAACGAACUUGGAGAUAGCUGGUUCUCUCCGAAAUAGCUUUAGGGCUAGCCUCGGAAUUGAGAAUGAUGGAGGUAGAGCACUGUUUGGACUAGGGGCCCAUCUCGGGUUACCGAAUUCAGAUAAACUCCGAAUGCCAUUCAUUCAUAUCCGGGAGUCAGACUGUGAGUGAUAAGAUCCAUAGUCGAAAGGGAAACAGCCCAGACCACCAGCUAAGGUCCCAAAAUAUAUGUUAAGUGGAAAAGGAUGUGGGGUUGCACAGACAACUAGGAUGUUGGCUUAGAAGCAGCCACCAUUUAAA
rnacentral:rRNA from 1 species